GAGGGGGGGGUGACAGUUUCAUUCUACUGUGCUCAAGAGAUGCCGCUUUAAUGAAAAAUGUGAUUACUAUUUAAAACGUUCAAAAAAUACUUUGAUUUACUUUUACGCAUAUUUAGAUGCAGAUUAAGUAAAUAAAUAAUUCAAUUUAACUAAAUUCUAACAAAAUAUUUCUAAAGGAUAUUUUGUAAAAAUUUUACAUAAAAAUGUUAGAUCAGGUAUUUGAAUGCCAAUUCCCAACGGCAAAAGUGUCAAAACAAAAAUUUCAAAUUACAAACUGACUCCUGCUUGUUGCGUUACCAUUUUGCUGUUAAUUUUGUAUUUUAUCCUGUUUUCUGUAUUGUGAGAUACUCUGUUAAGCACGUCGAGUCGAUAUGGUCAGUCAGGAAAUGGAACUGGACACCCAAUUAGACGCAGGUUGUUCUGAACAUAAUAUUAUAAUAUUUUCGAACAUAUACCAGGACAAAGCUACCACCAGAUGGCAAAAUAUUUAAAAUUGCCAUCAGCAAAAUGUUUAAAAAGAUUAAUUUCUGAAAUAAAACUAAAGCCGGCCAUCAAUAAAGUAAAUUGAAAAUAGAUGUGCAUGAUUUGCCUCGCGAAUAAACUGUGCACGUUAAUCUUUGACGAGAUGUCCCUUAUGUGCAAGUGCAUUACGAUGCAGCAACCGACAAAUUAAAAGGAUUCGCAACUUAUGGCAAACAAGUAUUUGCAAGCCAUCCAUUGGUUUUCAUGGUGAAGGGCAUUAAAAAUAGGAACAAACAAAGUGUCGCUUAUUAUUUCACCAGUAACAAUUAUCAAAAUUUUGCAAGCAACUGGCUGGUCCGUUUUAUGUACUGUGUGUGACCAGAGCACAGUUAAUGUGAGUGUCAUUAAUGAGCUUGUGGCCGAUAUAAGAGUAAAUCAUCUCAGAAAAGGUAAGGAGAACAAAGUUAACUUCUUUGAAGUGAACAAACGAAAAAUUAUUCCCAUUUAUGAUGUUCCACAUUUAUUAAAACGUACAUUGAACUACUGUAUGCUGCCGAUAAAUCAUUGGAGAACUCCGAUGACUGCAGAAAUUAACAUAGCAAAAAUAAAAAAAAUGCCCGUAAAAACAUCGGCGCAAAUUUUCAGGCACAGCGUAGCUGUUGCGGCGGAGCAUUUGGCAGCCCGAGAAGUACUACCGCCGGCAUGCCGACAAAUAAUUCCGUUCUAUCUUAUAAUGGAAAAUUUGUUUGAUUGAGAUGCACUCCCAACUUUUAAAGUGUCAAAUUUAUAGCUAAAAAAAAAGGAAAUAAAAUAUCUGUGGUAGAAUUGGUUGUACCAUCAAUAGAAAAUUUCAUUAAAACAAUUGAAGAUAUGCAAGAGCUAAGGAAAAUUUUGUCCCGAAAAUUUCUUCGGGAACGUCAGGAGCUUUGGUGCGACGAAUAUUUCUCGUAACACAGUAAAUUUUGAAGGAGCAUUCAAAGCGUUGUUGCUUAAUAAUUAUAACACGCCUGAUUCAGUGCAAUGUAAUUGUGAAGACGAUAAAAACGAUUGCCUGCAAACCUUAGACUUUUUUCUCAAAGAAAA